rnacentral:lncRNA from 1 species
GUGGUUGUUGAUUUUGUAGGUAAUUGUCUUUUGGGAGUGUCUUUUGGAGGAGUGUAGGGUGAUGGGGUUGGCUUUUCUUGUGGUUUUGUUCUAGUAGUGGUUUGUGGCCUUUCUUCAAUUCUAACGGAGGAGACCUUAAGAGCAAGAGAAGAUGAUGUGUUGGGAGAAUAAUUAGGAGAAAGAAGAGAUUUAGGGUGUAGUGAUAAUGUAGAAAGGAAAGUGGAAGAGAAGGCAUCCAUUAUGUCUCUUCUUGAAGAAAAGAAGAAGCAAGAUUUGAUACUAAAGAGUAAAGGAAUAAAAUAAGUGCUUGCAUGAACUGAGGUCCCAUGGCCAAUUUAUACCGUAUGUGGGAUAAGAGUGAGUAGUAAGGCAAAGGAAAGGGUGUAACACCCGGGUGUAACGCGAAGGUAUGGUCUGUGUGCGCAUCGCGAACGCGUGAGAGGUAUCG